rnacentral:lncRNA from 1 species
GAAGGACAGCAGCUAUGGCAGGAUCAAGAGCUUGGUGGUCGAGGAGAUGAAGCAGUACUUCCGACCGGAGUUUCUCAACCGUCUCGACGAGAUGAUCGUCUUCAGACAGCUGACCAAGCUGGAAGUCAAAGAGAUCGCGAACAUAAUGCUGCAGGAGGUUUUCACCAGGCUGAAGAGCAAGGACAUCAACCUGCAGGUGACGGAGAAGUUCAAGGAGCGGGUCGUGGACGAAGGGUACAACCCUAGCUACGGAGCGCGGCCAUUGAGGAGGGCGAUCAUGAGGCUUCUGGAGGACAGCCUUGCGGAGAAGAUUUUGGGCGGGGAGGUCAAGG